AAAAAAAGACAUCCUGGAUUUCCGUGUCCAAUAUUUGACUGCCCAUCUUAUAUGAAUUUUUUUAUAAUUAGUAUUUUCAUUAUUGUUAGAUGAUAAAACAUGAUUAAUACUUUAUGUGUGACUUUUUUUUUAAUUUUUUUCAUAAUUUUUUCAAAUAAGACGAAUGAUCAUUGGACACGGAAAACCAGGGUUUGUCUUUUU
rfam:Oryza sativa Japonica Group DNA, chromosome 7, cultivar: Nipponbare, complete sequence.